rnacentral:rRNA from 1 species
CCUACGGGUGGCUGCAGUGGGGAAUAUUGGACAAUGGGCGAAAGCCUGAUCCAGCCAUGCCGCGUGUGUGAAGAAGGCCUUCGGGUUGUAAAGCACUUUCAGUGGGGAAGAAAGCCUUGGGGCUAAUACCCUCGAGGAAGGACAUCACCCACAGAAGAAGCACCGGCUAACUCCGUGCCAGCAGCCGCGGUAAUACGGAGGGUGCGAGCGUUAAUCGGAAUUACUGGGCGUAAAGCGCGCGUAGGCGGUCUGAUAAGCCGGUUGUGAAAGCCCCGGGCUCAACCUGGGAACGGCAUCCGGAACUGGCAGGCUAGAGUGCAGGAGAGGAAAGUAGAAUUCCCGGUGUAGCGGUGAAAUGCGUAGAGAUCGGGAGGAAUACCAGUGGCGAAGGCGGCCUACUGGACUGACACUGACGCUGAGGUGCGAAAGCGUGGGUAGCAAACAGGAUUAGAUACCCCUGUAGUC